rnacentral:rRNA from 1 species
CCUACGGGUGGCAGCAGUGAGGAAUAUUGGUCAAUGGACGAGAGUCUGAACCAGCCAAGUAGCGUGAAGGAUGACUGCCCUAUGGGUUGUAAACUUCUUUUAUAUGGGAAUAAAACGUUCCACGUGUGGGAUUUUGUAUGUACCAUAUGAAUAAGGAUCGGCUAACUCCGUGCCAUCAGCCGCGGUAAUACGGAGGACCCGAUCGUUAUCCGGAUUUAUUGGGUUUAAAGGGGGCGUAGUCGGAUGGUUAAGUCAGUUGUGAAAGUUUGGGGCUCAACCGUAAAAUUGCAGUUGAAACUGGCAGUCUAGAGUACAGUAGAGGUGGGCGGAAUUCGUGGUGUAGCGGUGAAAUGCUUAGAUAUCACGAAGAACUCCGAUUGCGAAGGCAGUUCACUGGACUGCAACUGACACUGAGGCUCGAAAGUGUGGGUAUCAAACAGGAUUAGAUACCCCAGUAGUC